rnacentral:rRNA from 1 species
AGCUUAGAGAGCUUGCUUUUUAAGCUUAGUGGCGAACGGGUGAGUAACGCGUGAGUAACCUGCCCUAGAGUGGGGGACAACAGUUGGAAACGACUGCUAAUACCGCAUAACACGUAGAGAUCGCAUGGUCUUUACGUCAAAGAUUUAUCGCUGAAAGAUGGCCUCGCGUCUGAUUAGCUAGUUGGUGAGGUAACGGCCCACCAAGGCGACGAUCAGUAGCCGGACUGAGAGGGUGAACGGCCACAUUGGGACUGAGACACGGCCCAAACUCC